ACGAGAGGUGAGUUGAAGGAGAAGAGAUUUUCAGUUAAGGUGAAAGGUUUUCAAUUAGCUCCUAAAGAUCUUAGCUAAUUAAUUAAUAGAGACCCCCAGCUCCUCUCUGGCGUCAGAAGCUGUAAAUGUUCUGGUCCAACAAGACUCAGAGCAUUCCUGGAAUCCUGAACUGCAGAGUUCUGCCUCUCCCCAUCUCCAGUCGUCCAGUCGUCAUGAAAUCAGCAAAGUCAGCGAUUCAUCCUCUUUCUCACUCCCGGCAAAUGUGAGAACGUUGACAAGGCACCUCAUCUCUCUGGGCCUUAGUCUCCCAUCUGAAACAUGGAGAAUUGAGGUUAGGUCGAGCUUUUCAAGAUUUUUAAAACAGCGAAACCUCUGCCAACUUUUAAAAAUGAAAUCUUGCCAAGAACUCCCUAUAUAAGAUCCCCAUGCAAAAAGAGGUGCGGGGCUGGACGAAGCAGGGGUCAGACAUUCAAUGGCCACCUUCUCAGUCUUCUUGUCGAAACCCUAGCCCUCCCUGGGGUGAAGUAAACACCGCUGGGCUUGGUGUCUGUCAGUGUAAUGUGAUGUCAGUGUAUCCUUGACAUUAGCAAGAGCUACAUACCUGCAACACACUUUGGCACCUCUGUGUAUCACCGUCACAAUAUUUGUAUCUAAAUUGGCUCAUUUUUAAUACAUUUUAUUUUUAAGAGGAAAAUGUCCUGCCUUUACCACAAAUAGAAAACCAGCAUCAAUCGUCAGAAAUAGAAAGUAAGCAUACAAAUAAGUACAAAGGAAACAAAGCAGCAAUGAUUCAAUUUGAGCUGGAUACUGUUGCCUGUGGGAGAGUCUGAACCUAAAGCCUGGCAGGCUCUCUCUCUAUUAAGAAGGGACUAGCCAUAGACAAAGAGUGGUUAAAGAUACCAGCACCCAAUGGAGACUUUCUCCUUAAGUAUCAAGAGGGACUUAAACAUAAAUGAGAAGGGAAUCAUUUCCUGAGUCAGUGCUAAAUAGUGCUGUAUCCGAGUACUCCCUACCAUCAUUUUGCAUACGCUAAUGAUACAUAGCCCACACUUCAAAAAUUCCUGAGUUGGCCGGCUUAUCUAUGAGGUUCCCUCCAGCCCAGAGGUUCUGUAAUUCUUAUCUCCCCUUUAGUUGGUCUUUGCUCUUUGCCCUCAACCCAUUUCACCUCACCCUCAUCCCAACUCUGAUGAAGCAUCUUUCUGGGUCUCUGAAUCCGUGGCUUUUUAUUUCUUCUUCAUGCUCCUUCUCUUCUGAGUGAACUUCAUCUAGUGAACUGGAUUCCGUGGGGUCUGCAGUUGUAAUUUUGGCAGCAAAGUUGCAGCCUGGUCAAUCAGAUGUAGCAGUGAUGACAGCCCGAGAAGACAAGUACUUCCCAAUAGUACUGCCCAAGAAGGAAGGCCCAAGAAGGGGUUCUCAGUCUCAUCACCUUCCAGUUGGCUGUGGGAGAUGAACUGAGGAGGGAAGUUUGGACAGGGAGGGUCCAUUUAUUCUCUGUCUUCCUCUUAGGAGGGUGGACAGAUGUCUCCAUUCUGAAAGAGGGGACGAUCUAUGGUAGUGUGUGUGACUGCAUGUACCAAGACAAGGAUCCAAUAGCUGGGUGGGGAGAGAGACCUAGAAGAGGGAAAGCCAGAGGUAAGCAGAGAGACUGUCCUCUCCUCAUGCCAUGCCCUGACACUAGCAUCUAAUUCUUGCCUUUGGCUGUCACCUGAUUUCAACCCAGUGGGACCAGAGUCUGACUUCCCUUUCCUUCCAGAGCAUCUCAGCCUCCAUCGCCUUGGGCUCCUCCUGGUAUUCCCAUCUAACUCCCCCCACCCCCCGUUUUUUUUUGUGUAAAUGGAACAUAUUUUAUGUGCAAAUAUUUUAGUAACUGUAUGUUCUGCAAGUAAACCUGUGUUAAUCCUUGUCAACCAACUGCAGAGUUUAUGAUACCAAUAAUACUUCCUACAAUGAAGAAAAAAAACAUUUGUUUGUUUUCUAAGAAUGUUUAUUUGUAAACAUAUGUACUCACUAUAUUAAUAUGAAUUUCUUACCUGGCAAUAAAACUGAUUAUAUGUGA